GAUGAACGCUAGCGGGAGGCCUAACACAUGCAAGCCGAGCGGUAUUGUUUCUUCGGAAAUGAGAGAGCGGCGUACGGGUGCGGAACACGUGUGCAACCUGCCUUUAUCUGGGGGAUAGCCUUUCGAAAGGAAGAUUAAUACUCCAUAAUAUAUUUAACGGCAUCGUUUAAUAUUGAAAGCUCCGGCGGAAAGAGAUGGGCACGCGCAAGAUUAGCUAGUUGGUGAGGUAACGGCUCACCAAGGCAAUGAUCUUUAGGGGGCCUGAGAGGGUGAUCCCCCACACUGGUACUGAGACACGGACCAGACUCCUACGGGAGGCAGCAGUGAGGAAUAUUGGUCAAUGGGUGCAAGCCUGAACCAGCCAUCCCGCGUGAAGGCGUUAUGCGUUGUAAACUGCUUUUAUACAGGAAGAAACGACUCUUGCGAGAGGCAUUGACGGUACUGUAUGAAUAAGCACCGGCUAACUCCGUGCCAGCCGCCGCUGUAAUAC
rnacentral:rRNA from 1 species